rnacentral:ribozyme from 1 species
UCGCGGCCAGGGCAGGAGGAAUAACUUCGAGGACGUGGACGACAUGAAGGUAGAAAAAGUAGAAAUCGCCUUUGACAAGAUCGAAAUCCCCGUCCAACCACCCAAAAAGAAGAAGAAGAAGAAAAAACUUUUAUAGAAAAUG